rnacentral:rRNA from 1 species
AUACGUAGGGGGCUAGCGUUAUCCGGAAUUACUGGGCGUAAAGGGUGCGUAGGUGGUUUCUUAAGUCAGAAGUGAAAGGCUACGGCUCGACCGUAGUAAGCUUUUGAAACUAAGAGACUUGAGUGCAGGAGAGGAGAGUAGAAUUCCUAGUGUAGCGGUGAAAAGCGUAGAUAUUAGGAGGAAUACCAGUUGCGAAGGCGGCUCUCUGGACUGUAACUGACACUGAGGCACGAAAGCGUGGGGAGCAAACAGGAUUAGAUACCCUGGUAGUCCACGCCGUAAACGAUGAGUACUAGCUGUCGGGGGUUACCCCCCUCGGUGGCGCAGCUAACGCAUUAAGUACUCCACCUGGGGAGUACGUCGGCAACGAUGAAACUCAAAGGAAUUGGCGGGG